GAUAAACGCUGGCGGCGUGCCUUAUGCAUGCAAGUCGAACGAGGUUAGGACUUCGGUCCGAAGCCUAGUGGCGGACGGGUGAGUAACACGUACGUGACCUGUCCAGAGGUGGGGAAUAACCAGCCGAAAGGUUGGCUAAUACCGCAUGUGGUUACUUCUUAGAAGGAUCAAACCAAAGUCGCAAGACGCUUUUGGAGGGACGUGCGGCCGAUUAGCUAGUUGGUGUGGUAACGGCGCACCAAGGCAGUGAUCGGUAGCUGUUCUGAGAGGAUGAUCAGCCACACUGGGACUGAGACACGGCCCAGACUCCUACGGGAGGCAGCAGCAGGGAAUUUUGCGCAAUGGGGCGAAAGCCUGACGCAGCAACGCCGCGU
rnacentral:rRNA from 1 species